rnacentral:rRNA from 1 species
GAUGAACGCUGGCGGCGUGCCUAAUACAUGCAAGUCGAGCGAACGGACGAGAAGCUUGCUUCUCUGAUGUUAGCGGCGGACGGGUGAGUAACACGUGGAUAACCUACCUAUAAGACUGGGAUAACUUCGGGAAACCGGAGCUAAUACCGGAUAAUAUUUUGAACCGCAUGGUUCAAAAGUGAAAGACGGUCUUGCUGUCACUUAUAGAUGGAUCCGCGCUGCAUUAGCUAGUUGGUAAGGUAACGGCUUACCAAGGCAACGAUGCAUAGCCGACCUGAGAGGGUGAUCGGCCACACUGGAACUGAGACACGGUCCAGACUCCUACGGGAGGCAGCAGUAGGGAAUCUUCCGCAAUGGGCGAAAGCCUGACGGAGCAACGCCGCGUGAGUGAUGAAGGUCUUCGGAUCGUAAAACGCUGUUAUUAGGAAGAACAUAUGUGUAAGUAACUGUGCACAUCUUGACGGUACCUAAUCAGAAAGCCACGGCUAACUACGUG